AUGAACGCUGGCGGCGUGCUUAAUACAUGCAAGUCGAACGGAGACAUUAGCAAUAAUGUUUUAGUGGCGAACGGGUGAGUAACGCGUUGGUGACCUGCCCCGAAGAGAGGGAUAACAGUUCGAAAGGAUUGCUAAUACCCCAUGUGGUUGUUUGGAUUAGAUGCCUUACAACUAAACGGAUUUAUUCGCUUCGGGAGGGGCCUGCGUACCAUCAGCUAGUUGGUAGGGUAAUGGCCUACCAAGGCUAUGACGGGUAGGGGACCUGAGAGGGUGGCCCCCCACAAUGGAACUGAAACACGGUCCAUACACCUACGGGUGGCAGCAGUAGGGAAUAUUAGUAAUGGGCGAAAGCCUGAACUAGCGACACCGCGUGUGCGAAGAAGGCCUUCGGGUUGUAAAGCACUUUUAGAGAGGAUGAGGAAGGACGGUACUCUCUGAAUAAGUCUCGGCUAACUACGU
rnacentral:rRNA from 1 species